UACAGAGGGGGCAAGCGUUGUUCGGAAUUACUGGGCGUAAAGGGCGCGUAGGCGGCCUGCUAAGUCGAACGUGAAAUCCCCGGGCUCAACCCGGGAACUGCGUCCGAGACUGGCGGGCUUGAAUCCGGGAGAGGGAUGCGGAAUUCCAGGUGUAGCGGUGAAAUGCGUAGAUAUCUGGAGGAACACCGGUGGCGAAGGCGGCAUCCUGGACCGGCAUUGACGCUGAGGCGCGAAAGCCAGGGGAGCAAACGGG
rnacentral:rRNA from 1 species